rnacentral:rRNA from 1 species
AACGAACGCUGGCGGCAGGCUUAACACAUGCAAGUCGAGCGCCCCGCAAGGGGAGCGGCAGACGGGUGAGUAACACGUGGGGAUCUGCCCGAUGGUACGGAAUAGCUCCGGGAAACUGAAAUUUAUACCGUAUGUGCCCGCAAGGGGAAAGAUUUAUCGCCAUCGGAUGAACCCGCUUCGGAUUAGCUAGUUGGUGUGGUAAAGGCGCACCAAGGCGACGAUCCGUAGCUGGUCAGAGAGGAUGAUAAGCCACACUGGGACUGAGACACGGCCCAGCCUCCUGCGGGAGGCAGCAGUGGGGAAUAUUGGGCAAUGGGCGCAAGCCUGAUCCAGCCAUGCCGCGUGAGUGAUGAAGGCCUUAGGGUUGUAAAGCUCUUUCACCGAUGAAGAUAAUGACGGUAGUCGGAGAAGAAGCCCCGGCUAACUUCGUGCCAGCAGCAGCCGCCGUAA